GUAGGGUGCAAGCGUUAUCCGGAAUCAUUGGGCGUAAAGAGCUCGUAGGCGGUUCAGCAAGUCGGCUGUGAAAUCCCGAGGCUUAACCUCGGAACUGCAGUCGAUACUGCUGUGACUAGAGUCCGGUAGAGGAGAAUGGAAUUCCCGGUGUAGCGGUGAAAUGCGCAGAUAUCGGGAGGAACACCAGUAGCGAAGGCGGUUCUCUGGGCCGGUACUGACGCUGAGGAGCGAAAGCGUGGGGUAGCAAACAGGAUUAGAUACCCUGGUAGUCCACGCCGUAAACGUUGGACACUAGGUGUGGCGUUCCGACCAACGGGUGCCGUGCCGAAGCUAACGCAUUAAGUGUCCCCGCCUGGGGAGUACGGCCGCAAGGCUAA
rnacentral:rRNA from 1 species